GGGGUUGUGGCUCAGAGGUAGAGCACUCACCUAGUGUGCUCUCUUAGCAUGCGUGAGGCACUGGGUUUGAUCCUCAGCACCACA
rnacentral:tRNA from 1 species